rnacentral:lncRNA from 1 species
GCGCUCCCGGAGCUGCAAACCCGGGCUUCUUCCUUCCUUCCUUCCUUUUUUUUUUUUUUUUAAAUAUUCUUUCUUUUUUAGUCCUUUUCUCCCUUUCCUCCUGCCCUGUUUCCUUUUAGUAUUUUCUUUGUGAUUGUUUUUGCAAGUUUGUUUUAAAAGUUCACUGCAUGCUUUCUUUUCUUGUAGACCGGGAGACCGUGAUCUCACCCUGACGAUGGAUGCAGAUGAGGACAAAGAGGAGUAAAGAGGAGCCACCUAACAAAGGAAUCCUGACUCCCUGAAUAGCCAUACACACCCAGCAACAACUAUAAAGAGAGGGGGUCCCUGAGCCAGGUGCAUGGGGAAUCGAUACUGACCUGCCUCUUCUCUUCCAGCACCGCUUCUCCAGGCCAGCCGCUCUAGAAGAGUCAUUCUAGCCAUGAGAACUGCAGUUGAUAUCUUUGGCUGCCACUAAAUUUUACAUGGCCUUUAUCUAUUGUCCAUUUUGCGAUGAUGAGUCAAAGCCUGAUUGCCAAAUGAAGAUGUUUUGUAAGAUUGGAUACCUGCUAAAGCUCAUUUGCAAUUGCAAAGUCUGAAGGUGCUUUAAUCCUGCCUGUGUUUACAGAAGAAUGAGACCUGGAGGACAGGUGGACAUAUCCCCUGGAGUAAAAGGCCCCAGAGAGACAAGCACAGCCAGUCACACUCCACAGUCCACAAAAGCUGUCUCAGGAGCCACCUCACUAAUUUUUUGACCCUUGUUUCCUUGUUUGUUCCCAACCCCCACCCUGCAGUAAUUUUGUUAUUUCCAUUCCAUCCUUCCCGAAGAUAAAAGACACCGUGGGCGGGAUCCAUGAAUAAAAGUUGUUAUUUAUCGAUGCUGGUUUUAGGGAACAUUUUUUCUUCUGAUUCAUGAAGUACUUCUCUGCAUUCGAAAAGCAGUUCAUAAAUCGUUCAGUACUGGCAGAAAUUAAUAAUA